rnacentral:rRNA from 1 species
GACGAACGCUGGCGGCGUGCUUAACACAUGCAAGUCGAACGGAGUGGCGAACGGGUGGGUAACACGUGGGUGACCUCCCCUGCACUCCGGGCUAAGCAUGGGGAACUGGGUUUGAUACCGGUGAGUGUGGGAUGGGCGCGCGGCCUAUGAGCUUGUUGGGUGGGUAUUGGCCUACCAAGGCGGCGACGGGUAGCCGGCCUGGGAGGGGGGACGGCCACCUGGGGACUGAGACACGGCCCAGACUCCUACGGGAGGCAGCAGUGGAGAGUAUGACACAGUGGGCGGGAGGCUGAUGCGGCGACGCCGCGUGGGGGAAGACGGCCUGCGGGUUGUAAACUCCUUUCCCCAUCGACGCGGUAGCUGGCGAAGAAGCACCGGCUAACUACGUGCCAGCCGCCGCGGUAAUUC